UGGGGUGGAGCUCAAUGGCAGAGGGCUUGCCUACUGAGUGCGAGGCGCUGGGUUCGAUCCUCAGCACCGCAU
rnacentral:tRNA from 1 species